rnacentral:rRNA from 1 species
GAUGAACGCUGGCGGCGUGCCUAACACAUGCAAGUCGAGCGAUUCUCUUCGGAGAAGAGCGGCGGACGGGUGAGUAACGCGUGGGUAACCUGCCCUGUACACACGGAUAACAUACCGAAAGGUAUGCUAAUACGGGAUAACAUAAGAAAUUCGCAUGUUUUUCUUAUCAAGGCUCCGGCGGUACAGGAUGGACCCGCGUCUGAUUAGCUAGUUGGUGAGGUAACGGCUCACCAAGGCAACGAUCAGUAGCCGACCUGGGAGGGUGAUCGGCCACAUUGGAACUGAGACACGGUCCAAACUCCUACGGGAGGCAGCAGUGGGGAAUAUUGCACAAUGGGCGAAAGCCUGAUGCAGCAACGCCGCGUGAGCGAUGAAGGCCUUCGGGUCGUAAAGCUCUGUCCUCAAGGAAGAUAAUGACGGUACUUGAGGAGGAAGCCCCGGCUAACUACGUGCCAGCCGCCGCCGUAACAC